rnacentral:rRNA from 1 species
AACGAACGCUGGCGGCAUGCCUAACACAUGCAAGUCGAACGAGACCUUCGGGUCUAGUGGCGCACGGGUGCGUAACGCGUGGGAACCUUCCCUUAGGUUCGGAAUAACUCCCCGAAAGGGGUGCUAAUACCGGAUAAUGUCUUCGGACCAAAGAUUUAUCGCCUUUGGAUGUGCCCGCGUUGGAUUAGCUAGUUGGUAGGGUAAAAGCCUACCAAGGCGACGAUCCAUAGCUGGUCUGAGAGGAUGAUCAGCGACACUGGGACUGAGACACGGCCCAGACUCCUACGGGAAGCAGCAGUGGGGAAUAUUGGACAAGGGGCGAAAGCCUGAUCCAGCAAUGCCGCGUGAGUGAUGAAGGCAUUAGGGUUGUAAAGCGCUUUUACCCGGGAUGAUAAUGACAGUACCGGGAGAAUAAGCUCCGGCUAACUCCGUG